rnacentral:lncRNA from 1 species
GGAGCCUGAGAUCUGGCCGCGGAGGUCGUGGAUCACCGAGUGGAUGCUUUGCGGGGAGGCAUUGGGCGAAGAUCUAGUGAAGGAAGGAGAAGAGGAUGUCGGAGAAGAUGACUGGAGGCGAUCCCGUUGAGCGCUCCUUUAAAAAUAAGGGUACUACGAAGAUACAGCCCCUUCCUUUAGCGCCAAUCCCGUUGCUGCAAAAAUCUACCGACGUCGGAGAAGCUGG